GGCGAUGGCGGCGGCGGUGGCGCGCGCGCACGCACGCACGCACGUACGCCAGCGGCCGGCGGGGCAGCAGGCUCGCGCCCGGGCUCGCCCCGCGCCGCGCCAGAGGCUCGCGCACUCAGCAGGUUGGGCUGCGGCGGCGGCGGCGGCAGCAGCUGUGGAAGCUGAGGCGCUGUGCGUGAGAGGUUCCAGACACGUCUGCGGUUCCGGCUCCGCCACCCUCCUCCGCCUCUCUCACCCAGGUCUCGGAGCUGGGCCCUGAAGGAGGGAACGGCCGUAGCCUUGGGAAGCCAGAGCACACCCCUGGCUCCUGCCGACACCGCCCUCCUUCCCUUCCCAGCCGCGGGCCUCGCUCAGUGCUAGGCGACUCUGCGGGGAGGCGGCGGCGGCGGCUGCCAGUCUGUGGAGAGUCCUGCUGCCCUCCAGCCCUGCUCCUCCGCCGGGCCCUGCAGGGGCCGAGAGAGCUCGGCGCCCGCCUUUCCGCUCGCCUUUUUCGUCAGCGGGUUGGAGCAGCGUCGGUCCCGGAGGUCUCUGGGCUGAGGCGGCGGCAGCUCCUCUGGUUCCACCAUGUCGGCGGGCGGAGACUUCGGGAAUCCGCUGAGGAAAUUCAAGCUGGUGUUCCUGGGGGAGCAAAGCGGUG